AAAGAGGGAACCAAAAUGAUUGUAAAAGGAAAGAAGAGGCAGAUAAGAUUCGAGUCCCCAUCUCACGGCCAUUUCCAUAUAUAGCUUUUCAUGUCUCAACCUCUCCAUCAUCUCUCUCUUUUUCUCUCUCCCUCAGACAGUGCAGUAAAACUCGAAAGAGAGUGAGAGAGAGACAAAUAUACACACAAAUGAAGAGACUUGAGAGAGAUGCUUUUGCUUGAUAAGGCAAUCUCUACGCAUUCUUGUCCAAGCUAAAGCUGCACACUCCUAGAGUGAAGAUGACUUUGUUGUGGUCCUCUUUCAUUUUCUCCCUUCUUUCUUUUUUGGUCCAAAAUUUAGUUUUCACAAAUUUCAAACGCGUUUACCUCAAUUAGUUCAU